rnacentral:lncRNA from 10 species
UGGUGGUUUCAGAUGUGUUCAUUUUAUUAUGCUUUUAAAACUUAGGUACAUGUUACAUAUAUUCAUUUUAAAUGCCUUGAUACAAAUAAAAAAGGAAAGCACAUAUAUACAAAUAAGAAUGCCACUAUCAUGGGAUAACUUUGAACCUGCUUAAAGUUUUCUCAAUUAACGUAUUCACAAGCUUCAGUACUGUAACUAUUAGCUGGCAAAUGUCUUACAACACACUAUAUACAUGUCAUGAUGCUAGGGUUAGAAAUCAUCGUCCUGUUAGAGUACUUAGACCAGAACAAUAGUAAUGCCUUUUUCAUGUUUUAAAAUAUUAUAUACCAGGGUGAUUCUCUUUCAACUUGUUAUAUAGUCUGUACUUGCAGUAUCUGCUGUCUUUAACAUCUGGCAUAGGUG